AGUACCCGCUGAACUUAAGCAUAUCAAUAAGCGGAGGAAAAGAAACCAACCGGGAUUGCCUUAGUAACGGCGAGUGAAGCGGCAAAAGCUCAAAUUUGAAAUCUGGUCCUUCGACGUCCGAGUUGUAAUUUGAAGAAGGCGACUUUGUAGCUGGUCCUUGUCUAUGUUCCUUGGAACAGGACGUCAUAGAGGGUGAGAAUCCCGUGUGGCGAGGAUCCCAGUUAUUUGUAAAGUGCUUUCGACGAGUCGAGUUGUUUGGGAAUGCAGCUCUAAGUGGGUGGUAAAUUCCAUCUAAAGCUAAAUAUUGGCGAGAGACCGAUAGCGAACAAGUACAGUGAUGGAAAGAUGAAAAGAACUUUGAAAAGAGAGUG
rnacentral:rRNA from 1 species